GCAAGUCGAGGGGAAACGGCAUUGAGUGCUUGCACUCUUUGGACGUCGACCGGCGCACGGGUGAGUAACGCGUAUCCAACCUUCCCAUUACUGUGGGAUAACCUGCCGAAAGGCAGACUAAUACCGCAUAGUCUUCGAUGACGGCAUCAGAUUUGAAGUAAAGAUUUAUCGGUAAUGGAUGGGGAUGCGUCUGAUUAGCUUGUUGGCGGGGUAACGGCCCACCAAGGCAACGAUCAGUAGGGGUUCUGAGAGGAAGGUCCCCCACAUUGGAACUGAGACACGGUCCAAACUCCUACGGGAGGCAGCAGUGAGGAAUAUUGGUCAAUGGACGGAAGUCUGAACCAGCCAAGUAGCGUGCAGGAUGACGGCCCUAUGGGUUGUAAACUGCUUUUGUAUGGGGAUAAAGUUAGGGACGUGUCCCUAUUUGCAGGUACCAUACGAAUAAGGACCGGCUAAUUCCGUGCCAGCAGCCGCGGUAAUACGGAAGGUCCAGGCGUUAUCCGGAUUUAUUGGGUUUAAAGGGAGCGUAGGCUGGAGAUUAAGUGUGUUGUGAAAUGUAGACGCUCAACGUCUGAAUUGCAGCGCAUACUGGUUUCCUUGAGUACGCACAACGUUGGCGGAAUUCGUCGUGUAGCGGUGAAAUGCUUAGAUAUGACGAAGAACUCCGAUUGCGAAGGCAGCUGACGGGAGCGCAACUGACGCUUAAGCUCGAAGGUGCGGGUAUCAAACAGGAUUAGAUACCCUGGUAGUCCGCACAGUAAACGAUGGAUGCCCGCUGUUGGUACCUGGUAUCAGCGGCUAAGCGAAAGCAUUAAGCAUCCCACCUGGGGAGUACGCCGGCAACGGUGAAACUCAAAGGAAUUGACGGGGGCCCGCACAAGCGGAGGAACAUGUG
rnacentral:rRNA from 1 species